GUCAGUGUGGUGUAGUGGUCCGAACACUGGACUAGGACUCUGGAGACCAGUGUUGAAAUCCCUGCAUGACC